AUUUGGGGACUAAAAGUUUUCCUAUUCUUAUUGGAGACGUUGGUUUUUAUCUAAAAAGAAAAGAAAUAAAACUUGAAAAACUAUUAUAAAAAUUCAGGAUUUAAAAAUUUUAAAUGGUAUUGGUGAUAUCUUGUGGCGAAGUAUGGUAUUACAACUUGUUGUUGACUAAAAGAGACUUGGCUUGAAGCCCAGAAUCUAAAAAAAAAACUUUCCUGACCUCGACAGAUACCAGCUGUGAAAAACCCAUCUGUAAAGAAGGAACUGCAGGGCGGCAUAUCUGGCCUGUUUGAAUUAUGAAGAAUACUGCCAUCUUCCUGCUACAGGUCCACAAAAAGUAGAAAACUACCAAAACUCAGAGUAAUUCUCAACACUAAAAACACCAGAAAUGUAAAUGUGUUCUGAUAUCUGAGCUACAGUAUGACCACCUUCUCAACAAUAUUCCCCAGACAGGAAAUGCUGGACCUGGUCAGAAAUUAUAUGACGCUAUUGGGAUCAACAAUGUUUUCCUGAGGAAAGUGCAGACCUCCUCCCACUUAAGUGAAGGGAGAAUCAUGCCUUCACUAAAGAAUGAAUCUGCUUGUAUCCAAUCACACAUCACUUCCUAGGAUGCCUUAACCAACUAGCAUCAAAAGUUGAGAUAAAUUUGAUCAUUUAAUCAAUAUUGAUUAAAAUUGGUGGACAAACGUUUAGGUUACUGUUAUUAAAUUUGCAAAAGUAUGACAGAAGCUAAUGGCUUCCAUUAAGCCAAGUUAAGAUCAAGUAAAGCCAUCAAGUCAGAAAUGUAAAAUUUCCUAAGUUCAUUUCUAAACAGAAAUAAAUUACAAAGAAAAAAAAAUUAUCCACCUGAACAGUUAAUCAGUAAAAUUUAUUUU